AUGAACCCUGGCGGAAUGCUUUACACACUGCAAGUUUAACGGCAGCACGGACUUCGGUCUGGUGGCGAGUGGCGAACGGGUGAGUAAUACAUCGGAACGUGCCCAGUCGUGGGGGAUAACGUAGCGAAAGCUACGCUAAUACCGCAUACGAUCUAAGGAUGAAAGCGGGGGAUCGCAAGACCUCGCGCGAUUGGAGCGGCCGAUGGCAGAUUAGGUAGUUGGUAGGGUAAAGGCCUACCAAGCCGACGAUCUGUAGCUGGUCUGAGAGGACGACCAGCCACACUGGGACUGAGACACGGCCCAGACUCCUACGGGAGGCAGCAGUGGGGAAUUUUGGACAAUGGGCGAAAGCCUGAUCCAGCCAUUCCGCGUGCAGGAUGAAGUGCCCUACGGGUCUAGUAAACUGCUUUUGUACGGAACGAAAAGGUCCUGGUUAAUACCUGGGGCUCAUGACGGUACCGUAAGAAUAAGACACCGGCUAACUACGUGCCAGCAGCCGCGGGUAAUACGUAGGGUGCAAGCGUUAAUACGGAAUUACUGGGCGUAAAGCGUGCCCAGGCGGUGAUGUAAGACAGAGGUGAAAAUCCCCCGGGCUCAACUGGGAACUGCCCUUUGUGACU
rnacentral:rRNA from 1 species